UUAAGCCCAUCAUGAACUAAUGCCUUUUAGUGGUUCACCCCUUGUAUCAUGAUCUUCCAAAAUAGUUGCGGGAAGGGGAGGGAAAGCAUUAAAUGUCAGUAGUUACAGCAAGACAGUGUCUGCGAAGAGGCCAAAGAGGCUGUCUCUGGUUUCACGUUCCCGCGGCCCCAGCGGAGAUCGAAAUGUGCAGGGUUUGCAUUGAAAUGAGAAUGGGGUCACCUCCCCUUUGUAGUCAUCAUCAAGGAAGCAGAACUUCCUUCCAGAGAGAGCAUAGGAAAUCAAUGCUCACACUUUGCCUGUGGAGAGGUGAAUGUGGAUGGCAGACGGCAUGAAAUAAAAGGGCAGCAGAAAAGUGAUUUACUCUAGACGGCGGUGUGACUUUUGGGUGCCUUCAAAGGAGUCACGUUUUUGACAUCAUCAUUAUAUUAAAAUCUUUCUCUUUUUUGAGAGUAUAUGUUUUUGAUUUCUUAGGAAAAGACAAAAAGAAAGGAGGAACUGCCAUUAGGUGGUGUGGUCCUCUUUGCCCUCAAAGGAGAAUUAUUUAAGGAAGGCAGAGUGUCUGGGAUACGGACCUACCUCUCCCCUCGUUUUAUUAUUACUGUUGUUGUUAAUAAGAAUAGACCUGAUUUGCGAAAGUCACUGGGUUUUUGCCUGUUUGUCCAGGUAUUCUGUGACACAGAGGGCAGACUUGCCAUGGGGGGAGCCAAGGGGGUGCUGCGGUGGGGGUGCGUGUCUGGGCGAGGCAUAGGGAAGGGGGGUGGUUGCUGAGGACCACAGUGUGGGCGUGGAUGCCUGAGGAAAUAUGCCAAAGCAGGUGUGCAGUUGGAACAGGCACUGCCCCUCUUCAGCGUGCACCUCUGAUUGAUUUGGGAACACGUCUUCUGUGGAUUUGAAAUACUGAACUGCAGGUAAUAGCGAUGGGGCAAGGAACUGUGGCUGGCUUGGCUUGUAUCUGGGAGAAGACAAAACAGCCAUGUAAUCUCCCGCCUGAGAGCAGAUUAGCAAGUGUGUUAGUUGUGUAACAGCGAAACAAAACAAGCAAAAAACAAAACAAAACAAGAAAACAAACAAAAAAACCCCCAAAAGUCAAAAAACCACAAAGAAAAAGAAAGAAAGCUCUGCUCAACGCCCCCUACCACAUUUUUGCUCCCAUUUAUUAUUUCUAGUAGCCAUUCAGUCCCUAAAGUUAACAAUGAAUGAUUAUGAUUCUGGAGUUUCGUUUACAGCAUAAAUUAGCAUUUUGUUUUCUGUUACAGCUUUUGAAUGAGGAAUUAUAAUGUAUAAUUUGCUGAAAAUAGAUGUUAUCAUCUCUUAGGAUGAGAACAACCACAUAAACUUGAACAAAUGAUAAAAAUGGAAUCAAUUACAUUUCAAAUGGAAGUAGUUUACAAACCUCCAAAUACAAAGUGGCAGUCGUAGCUGGUUAUUGUAACAAAUAAUUAGUUUUUUUAAACAACAUUUAUUGAAUUCCAUUGACGAUUUGGUAAUUGUUCACAGUUGACUGUAGCCCUCCCUCUUCCAAAAUGAAAUGUGGCGUGGAAUGACUGCAUUUUAGAAACUGCAGUUUGCCUCAUUAUUUCGCGUUGCAACCACAAUGUAUAUUUGUUGGCAGAUGUAACCCUUUCUGAGUAAGAAGAAAACAUCAAAUCGAGGCCGCCAAGCCUGAUUGGUGGCUUGAGAUAAAUCCCCAAGGGCUCAUAAGUGAGGGUUUUGAGGUUCUAAAGAAACAAAAAAAGCAUAGAGUCAAAAUGGAUGUGUGCGAGUGUGUGUUGACGGGGGCGGGGGGGGACAUUUUAAAUGAUUUGUCAAAUAGACGUAUCAUAGGUUUACAUCAGCAAGAAUUAAUUUCCCUGUCACCGUCCUUCCCAUAAUCCUUUCUGCCCUGUCUUGUCAUCGUUGAUGUGGGGGUCCUCCCCCAUUUGGGAAGUUCUUUGUGGGAAGGCACCCUACAGUCUUCAGUUCAAAAUCCCCCAUGGUACCUGGCCUGUAGCAGACAAAACAGAUGUGUUGGACAAGGGCUGAAAUUUCAGAAAACAACUUUUGCACCAUGAUAAGUUCCCCUUUCUUUAUGGUUCUUCGCUCCAUCUCUUAGGAUGAUGAGGACAAUUCUGCAGUAUCAUUUUUGAACACGGGAUUUUGACUUGGCGAGUCAAGGAAUCCUGCCUUCAUUUAUGCAUCCCCAGGGAAGGACACAAUUGGUGUACCCUAGGCUCACCAGACCUCUUCAUCUUUAAAAUGAAAAGUUAUGAAGUUAUGAAGUAUAGACUUCAAUUAAUAAAUUCAGAGAGGAUAAAGGAGGAAAAGUGGGAAUCUGAGGGGGUUUAGUUUUAAUUUUUUCUCUUUUGGUAACUACUACAUGCAGAGUGGAUCAUUUAUUUUUGAUUAUUUCUAAAAGAUUAAUCUAUUUCUUUAAAGUUAAUAUGCAAAGAAAUAUGUUCAACAUCGCUUUAUUUUUAGAUCCCACGAUUUAGUCUGAAACAAAUCACUGGUGCAUUAUAAACACACAAGAAUGUAUCUAAUGACAGGAGUCAGGCUGAACAGAUGCUAAAAAAGAUGCUUUGCAUGAAGUCGCGGGAACUGCAGGAGGGAAUGGAAAAAAAAAAAUCUCUAGAAGUUGGAGGGCUUGUGAGGUAAAUCCUGUGGAGACUUUUCACCCAUCCAAUCAGUGCUCCUGCAAUUCAGGGCAGAAGGGAGUCCAUUUACUUCUGCAUAAAAGUACAAAUGAUGACAUCGAGCCCCUAAAAUGGCUGUUAAGAUUAAGUGAGACCUUGGACCUGGGAAGACCUUGGCUAUUGACUAAUAAAGAGCUGAGUCAAUGUUAGGUUUAUCGGUCAAUCUUCGAAUAUUUAUAGAGUACCUACUGAUGUGGCAGCCCGGCAGCAUGCCGGAGCACAUAGCAGAUUCUCAGUGCAUUAGGUUGGGUCAAUAGUAAUAGAAUUCUUGCAAUGAACACUGACGCUACCAUUCCAGAAACCUUUUAAAGUGCUUUGCAUAGAUUAACUCAUUUCAUCAUCGAAAUAACCCUAGAGGUAGGCACUGUUGUCAGUUUUGCAUAUCACCUGUUACACAUGAGGGAGCUGAAGGACAGAGAGGUGAAGUGACUUCACUAAGAUCACACAGCCAGUAAGUGGUUCAGUCAGCAUUUGUAUCUAUCAGAUCUGGCCUCCGAGCCCAUGUUUCAAUGUUAAGCACCGUGCUGGGCUGCCUUCAGGUGGAUGACCUGAGGGGUGACAGAAAUCGAAGAUGAACUAGGAGUUCCCGUUGUGGUGCAGCGGAAAUGAAUCCCACUAGGAACCAUGAGGUUGCGGGUUCGAACCCUGGCCUUGCUCGGUGGGUUAAGGAUCUGGUGGUGUCGUGAGCUGUGGUGUAGGUCGAAGAUGCCACUCGGAUCCCGUGUUGCUGUGGCUGGGGCGUAGGCCGGCAGCUGUAGCUCUGAUUCAGCCCCUAGCUGGGAACCUCUGUACGCCUCGGGUGUGG
rnacentral:lncRNA from 1 species